UGGGGAAUAUUGGACAAUGGGCGAAAGCCUGAUCCAGCCAUGCCGCGUGUGUGAAGAAGGUCUUCGGAUUGUAAAGCACUUUAAGUUGGGAGGAAGGGCAGUUACCUAAUACGUAUCUGUUUUGACGUUACCGACAGAAUAAGCACCGGCUAACUCUGUGCCAGCAGCCGCGGUAAUACAGAGGGUGCAAGCGUUAAUCGGAAUUACUGGGCGUAAAGCGCGCGUAGGUGGUUUGUUAAGUUGGAUGUGAAAUCCCCGGGCUCAACCUGGGAACUGCAUUCAAAACUGACAAGCUAGAGUAUGGUAGAGGAUGGUGGAAUUUCCUGUGUAGCGGUGAAAUGCGUAGAUAUAGGAAGGAACACCAGUGGCGAAGGCGACCACCUGGACUGAUACUGACACUGAGGUGCGAAAGCGUGGGGAGCAAACAGGAUUAGAUACCCCCGUAGUCCCUGAGCGGGCUGGCAAGGCGCAU
rnacentral:rRNA from 1 species